ACGGGUGAGUAACGCGUAGAUAACCUGCCUCUAAGAUGGGGACAACAACUCGAAAGGGUUGCUAAUACCGAAUGUGAACAGAACUUCGCAUGGAGAACUGUUUGAAGGUGGCCUCUGAAUGUGCUACCGCUUAGAGAUGGGUCUGCGUCUGAUUAGCUAGUUGGAGGGGUAACGGCCCACCAAGGCGACGAUCAGUAGCCGGUCUGAGAGGAUGAACGGCCACACUGGGACUGAGACACGGCCCAGACUCCUACGGGAGGCAGCAGUGGGGAAUCUUCCGCAAUGGACGAAAGUCUGACGGAGCAACGCCGCGUGAGUGAAGAAGGCCCUCGGGUCGUAAAGCUCUGUCUUCUGGGACGAACGUGUUCUUUGUGAAUAAUGAGGAGCAAUGACGGUACCGGAGGAGGAAGCCACGGCUAACUACGUGCCAGCAGCCGCGGUAAUACGUAGGUGGCAAGCGUUGUCCGGAAUUAUUGGGCGUAAAGCGCGCGCAGGCGGGAUAUUAAGUCUGUUGUCUAAGUGCGGGGCUCAACCCCGUAUCGGCAAUGGAAACUGGUAUUCUUGAGUGCAGGAGAGGAAAGUGGAAUU
rnacentral:rRNA from 1 species